GGGUGCAACCGUUGUUCGGAAUUACUGGGCGUAAAGCGUGUGUAGGCGGUCUGCUAAGUCGGGUGUGGAAGCCCUGGGCUCAACCCAGGAAGUGCACUCGAAACUGGCAGGCUAGAGUACUGGAGAGGUUGGUGGAAUUCUCGGUGUAGAGGUGAAAUUCGUAGAUAUCGAGAGGAACACCGGUGGCGAAGGCGGCCAACUGGACAGAUACUGACGCUGAGACACGAAAGCGUGGGGAGCAAACAGG
rnacentral:rRNA from 1 species